rnacentral:lncRNA from 1 species
GUAUAUGACCGUGUACUCUCAGGACUCAAGGGUUGCUCUGCUAUACUAGCCAAGACUUGUUCUCAAAUGGAGGGCCCUUAUAUAGAAUACGUGAAAGCACAAUUCAAUAAACCUGUUUUUCUUGUAGGACCAGUAGUCCCUGAUCCACCUUGUGGUAAAUUGGAAGAGAGAUGGUCUAGUUGGUUAAACAAGUUUGAAGCUGGAACAGUCAUUUACUGUUCUUUUGGAAGUGAAACUUUCUUGAAGGAUGAACAGAUCAAAGAACUGGCUUUAGGUCUGGAGCAAACUGGGCUACCUUUCUUUCUGGUUCUAAACUUUCCUGCUAAUGUUGAUUUCUCAGCCGAGCUAAACCGAGCUUUACCUAAAGGGUUUAUGGAAAGAGUGAAAGAGAAGGGAAUUAUUCAUUCAGGUUGGGUGCAACAACAGCAUAUAUUAGCUCACACU